UACGAAGGGGGGCUAGCGUUGUUCGGAAUUACUGGGCGUAAAGCGCACGUAGGCGGAUUGUUAAGUUAGGGGUGAAAUCCCAGGGCUCAACCCUGGAACUGCCUUUAAGACUGCAUCGCUAGAAUCGUGGAGAGGUGAGUGGAAUUUCCGGUGUAGCGGUGAAAUGCGUAGAUAUCGGAAGGAACACCUGUGGCGAAAGCGGCUCACUGGACCAUUACUGACGCUGAUGCACGAAAGCUAGGGGAGCAAACAGG
rnacentral:rRNA from 1 species